CCUACGGGUGGCAGCAGUGGGGAAUAUUGCACAAUGGGGGAAACCCUGAUGCAGCGACGCCGCGUGAGUGAAGAAGUAUUUCGGUACGUAAAGCUCUAUUAGCAGGGAAGAAAAACCGGCCUUAGGGCCGCCAGACGGUACCUGACUAAGAAGCCCCGGCGAACUACGCGCCAGCAGCCGCGGUAAUACGUAGGGUGCAAGCGUUUUCCGGUUUUACUGGGUGUAAAGGGAGCGUAGACGGCAGCGCAAGUCUGGAGUGAAAUGCCCGGGCCCAACCCGGGAACUGCGGUGGAAACUGUGGAGCUUGAGUGCAGGGGAGGGAAGCGGAAUUCGUGGUGUAGCGGUGAAAUGCGUAGAUAUUAGGAGGAACACCAGUGGCGAAGGCGGCUUACUGGACUGUAACUGACGUUGAGGCUCGAAAGCGUGGGGAGCGAACAGGAUUAGAUACCCCAGUAGUC
rnacentral:rRNA from 1 species